rnacentral:lncRNA from 1 species
CCCCAGAUGGUUUGUGAAGGAGGAUCUACAGCACGUUACGGAGGCGGGGGCUCUGAGGGUCCACAGUAACAUCAGAUUGGAGUUGGUGGAAACUCCUGUUCAUCCAGCCGUGCAGAAAGCGGCCGUUCCUGCUGGUCCUUCAUCGUCCGGCCCCUGCCCUGUCCUACUCCGUGCCUCCCUGCUGGGAGAAAGGAGUCACCAUUCAUGCCGCUGCAGCUCCAGGCACGUUCCCCUCCUCACCGACGUGGAGUUUGACUCCUUCAUUGAGGGCCAGGGGCCUCAGAGUGACCAGAUCUUGGUGGUUUGCGUCACCUCGGCGCCACACCGACGCUCACCAUCUCCCGCCUCCAUGGGCAGCGCGGUGGAUCAAAUGCACAGGAAGAUGAACCGGAACAGGAGCAUGCCGUGUUCACAGGUACGCUCACCCGUUAUUCACUUCCUGCCGGCAAGUCCAGGUCCCACCCUUUACCGCCGCGUAACAGGGUCCUUUCCACCAGUGUCACCUGGAUUCGUUCCGUCUUCUCCGGUACGAGGUUCCCAGACCGGAUGAGCGGAAUGCCGUGCGCCCCGGCGUGCUUCUGCAGCGGAGGCACCAUGUGACCCCUGGAAUGUUCCUGAUGUACCUCAGAGGGAAACUGCUCUUCGCCAACUCCAUCUUUAACGGCUUCAGCCGCAGCUUUAAGGAUCUUCAGAAGCAGGUGGUGAAAACCAGAGAGGACUUCCACCGCGGCAAAUUCCUACCUCCCGGUUUUAAGUUCAGGUACUCGUCCUGCACUCGUCAUCAUCAGACGGUCUCAACUGCAACCCCUGGACCGCGCUCAGAGGACGGACGUUUGUUUUUCAGUUCUCGGACCGGAAGCGCGGCCGAUGAAGACAGACAGUCACACGCAGGACGGGGACAGCGGAACGCAGGACAAGAAGAGUCC